UCUAGAGGAAAUUGGUGGCAAGGUAAAGUAGAUACUUAAGCUCCUGUUCUAGACUGCAACACCAACUUCAAGCUUCUUAUGUGCUUUCUGCAGGUUCGCUUUAUUAUUAGGAUCUUGCCUUCCCUUGGCAUAUGAAUUCUCCAUCUAUUUUUUAAGGUAUACAGAAAUAUAGAAUCUAUUUCAGAAAAAAAAAAAAGGGAUGAGUUUUUAGACAUUUAUUUGCUUAAUCUGUAAUUGUCAGCUGAUUAGCAGGAAUACACUACCAUGCAUUCAAUCUCCUCUCUCAACCCACCUAACCACACCCUACCAAAACCAGGAAGAAAAGAAAAAAUGAAAGAUAGGGGAAAAACCACUGAUAUCACUACACAUGUUGAAGGAAUUCAUAAAACCUAGGUGACAGUAAUGGAAGUCGAUGAAAAAUAAAUAAGCAGCUGAUGUGGUUAGAUCUUGUCAGCAAUUUGCAAUGCUUUUUCCAGUAAAGACAUUCAAGUUGCAUGAUUUUGAUAUAGUGCAGCCUCUAUGAAAGACAUGAAGAAAUUGUGCAACACCAAUACUCUUUCUGCUCUUUACUUGGCCGAUUUAUCUAGGCCGUUGAAUAUUGUUUUCAUUUUUCUUUUAAAGCAUGUAAGAAAUAUCAACAAAUAGAUGAAUUGUGAACCUCUUCGAUUAGAAAAGUCAACAUGGAUGCUUAAAGGUUCAAUCCCUAAAUUUUGUAAAUCUUUUCUAUCGUUUGUAGAAACAUGUGAAACUCGAAAAAAAUAGAUGAGCUUAUAAUUCUUUUCUGAUGUACAGGUUUUAACCUGACAAAUCAUU
rnacentral:misc_RNA from 1 species